rnacentral:lncRNA from 1 species
AGCUUCAGAUCCUCUACAUAUGGAACAACCAUUUAAAUGGUUCCAUUCCUGAAGAAAUAGGUAACCUAAGGUCUCUCACUAAGCUAGCUUUGAGUGGUAAUACUCUAGAUGGUUCUAUUCCUGCUUCAUUGGGGAAUUUGACCAACUUGUCCCUUUUGUAUCUUUAUAGCAAUCAUCUUUCCGGCCCCAUUCCUGAAGAAAUAGGUCACCUAGGGUUUCUUACCGAACUGGCUUUGUAUGAUAAUACUCUAGAUGGUUCUAUUCCUGCUUCAUUGGGGAAUUUGACCAACUUGUCCCUUUUGUAUCUUUAUAGAAAUCAUCUUUCCGGCCUCAUUCCUGAAGAAAUAGGUCACCUAAGGUCUCUUACUGACCUAGAAUUGGAUACUAACUUUCUUAAUGGUUCUAUUCCUGCUUCAUUGGGGAAUUUGACCAACUUGUCCUUUUUGUCUCUUGCUGACAAUCAUCUUUCCGGUCUCAUUCCUGAAGAAAUAGGUAACCUAAGGUCUCUUACUGAGCUACAAUUGAGUAAUAACACUCUAGAUGGUUCUAUUCCUGCUUCAUUGGGCAAUUUGGCCAACUUGUCCCUUUUGUAUCUUUAUAGCAAUCAUCUUUCCGGCCCCAUUCCUGAAGAAAUAGGUCACCUAAGGUCUCUUACUGACCUAGAAUUGGAUACUAACUUUCUUAAUGGUUCUAUUCCUGCUUCAUUGGAGAAUUUGACGAACUUGUCUCUUUUGUAUCUUUAUAGCAAUCAUCUUUUCGGCCCCAUUCCUGAAGAAAUAGGUAGCCUAAGGUCUCUUACUGAGCUAAAAUUGAGUAAUAACACUCUAGAUGGUUCUAUUCCUGCUUCAUUGGGCAAUUUGGCCAAC